GAUGAACGCUAGCGGCAGGCCUAACACAUGCAAGUCGAGGGGUAACGAUGUCUUCGGACAGUCGACGACCGGCGCACGGGUGAGUAUCGCGUUUGUAACCUACCUUUAACUGGAGCAUAGCCCGAAGAAAUUCGGAUUAAUACUCCAUAAUACUAUGAUCUGGCAUCUUUUUAUAGUUAAAGCUCCGGCGGUUAAAGAUGGACAUGCGUAACAUUAGUUUGUUGGUGAGGUAACGGCUCACCAAGACUACGAUGUUUAGGGGGUCUGAGAGGAUGGUCCCCCACACUGGUACUGAGACACGGACCAGACUCCUACGGGAGGCAGCAGUGAGGAAUAUUGGUCAAUGGGCGCAAGCCUGAACCAGCCAUGCCGCGUGAAGGAUGACAGCGCUAUGCGUUGUAAACUUCUUUUGUACAGGAAGAAACACUUCUACGUGUAGAAGCU
rnacentral:rRNA from 1 species